AUCAGUGAGGUUAGAACGUCUAACUUGCAAGGUAAUAGAUCUGAUCUAUUGUUUAAUACAUACAUUAGAUAUAGUAUAGAAACAUGUUGAUAUGAUCAACAUGUAGUUCAUGCUAUAUUUAUAUAUUUUAAUUUCUGAUUUAAUGCUAUAUAAUAAUCAUGUAAUAGGAUCUUAGAUCUAGGAAUUCUCUAAUUUUAGAAAAUAAUUUUGAUUUAUUUUAGUCUUCCACUGUAUGAUCUUGAAAAAGUUUCAAGAUCUAACCCUGAAACCCU
rnacentral:lncRNA from 1 species